UAGCUAACGCAUUAAGUACCCCGCCUGGGGAGUACGGCCGCAAGGCUAAAACUCAAAGGAAUUGACGGGGCCCCGCACAAGCGGCGGAGCAUGCGGAUUAAUUCGAUGCAACGCGAAGAACCUUACCUGGGUUUGACAUAUAUCAGAAACGUUCAGAGAUGGGCGCCCCGUAAGGUCGGUAUACAGGUGGUGCAUGGCUGUCGUCAGCUCGUGUCGUGAGAUGUUGGGUUAAGUCCCGCAACGAGCGCAACCCUCGUCCAAUGUUGCCAGCGGGUUAUGCCGGGGACUCAUUGGAGACCGCCGGGGUCAACUCGGAGGAAGGUGGGGAUGACGUCAAGUCAUCAUGCCCCUUAUGUCCAGGGCUUCACGCAUGCUACAAUGGCCGGUACAAAGAGUUGCGAGCCUGUGAGGGUGAGCGAAUCUCAAAAAGCCGGUCUCAGUUCGGAUUGGGGUCUGCAACUCGACCCCAUGAAGUCGGAGUCGCUAGUAAUCGCAGAUCAGCAACGCUGCGGUGAAUACGUUCCCGGGGCUUGUACACACCGCCCGUCAAGUCAUGAAAGUCGGUAACACCCGAAGCCGGNGGCCUAACCCGUUUGGGGGGGAGCUGUCGAAGGUGGGACUGGUAAUNAGGACUAAGUCGUAACAAGGUAGCC
rnacentral:rRNA from 1 species